UGCAAGGAAUAUAAGAGUGUUAAAGAAAAAAGAUACCAGCCAAUCUGCAAAGAGUUCUUAUAUAAUCUACAAAGAGAAAAUACAAGAAAACACAUGAUACAAAGAGGAGCUUUCAGCAUGGGAGCCAAAGAAGUAGAAUGUAUGCUUUCCAAGAGGAGAGAGGCAGAGAGAGAGGAAGAAAAGUGAAGACUUUGGCAGAAAAUAUUUGGCAUCAAAAAAUCGCCUUAAAAAGUUCUGUUGAAAUUCAGAACACAGCAGCUAAUGAGUGAAUUGCAGUGGAAUGGCUGCUGGAAAUUGUCCAGAGGAAGCGCAAC